rnacentral:rRNA from 1 species
AAUGGGCGAAAGCCUGAUGCAGCCAUGCCGCGUGUGUGAAGAAGGCUCUAGGGUUGUAAAGCACUUUCAAUUGGGAGGAACAGUUAGUCAUUAAUACUGGCUAGCCUUGACGUUACCUUUAGAAGAAGCACCGGCUAACUCCGUGCCAGCAGCCGCGGUAAUACGGAGGGUGCGAGCGUUAAUCGGAAUUACUGGGCGUAAAGCGCGCGUAGGCGGUUUGGUCAGUUGGAUGUGAAAGCCCCGGGCUUAACCUGGGAACUGCAUUCAAUACUGCCAGACUAGAGUACGAGAGAGGGGGGUAGAAUUUCUAGUGUAGCGGUGAAAUGCGUAGAUAUUAGAAGGAAUACCAGUGGCGAAGGCGGCCCCCUGGCUCGAUACUGACGCUGAGGUGCGAAAGCGUGGGGAGCAAACAGGAUU